AGAACCUCCACAUAAACCCUGAAAUUGUUCAGUAUUCUCUCAAACAGCCGUUUGAGUCACCUCAAAUGUAGCAGAGGGCCAGGUUAAAACGGUCCGAUGCACUUCACUUGCAAUGCAGAUCAUCAUUUCUGGACAGCUUUCUACUUACUGCUGUGGACAUGAAAGGAUCGUCCUAGGCUUGCCCAUGCUGAUGGGCUGCACCACAGCAGUACUGGAGCUGAAUUCCUGUCGGACAACAUCUUCAGGAUGCUUUGACUAGGACACCUUCAAUGUGAAGCAGUGGACAGCUAAAGAUGUUGCUGACUGUUAUUGCUAGACAUUAUUUAAAUUUGAUUAUUUGCA